rnacentral:rRNA from 1 species
AGUGAACGCUGGCGGUAGGCCUAACACAUGCAAGUCGAACGGCAGCACAGUAAGAGCUUGCUCUUACGGGUGGCGAGUGGCGGACGGGUGAGGAAUACAUCGGAAUCUACUUUUUCGUGGGGGGAUAACGUGGGGAAACUUACGCUAAUACCGCAUACGACCUACGGGUGGAAGCAGGGGAUCUUCGGACCUUGCGCGAUUGAAUGAGCCGAUGUCGGAUUAGCUAGUUGGCGGGGUAAAGGCCCACCAAGGCGACGAUCCGUAGCUGGUCUGAGAGGAUGAUCAGCCACACUGGAACUGAGACACGGUCCAGACUCCUACGGGAGGCAGCAGUGGGGAAUAUUGGACAAUGGGCGCAAGCCUGAUCCAGCCAUACCGCGUGGGUGAAGAAGGCCUUCGGGUUGUAAAGCCCUUUUGUUGGGAAAGAAAAGCAGCAGGUUAAUACCCCGCUGUUCUGACGGUACCCAAAGAAUAAGCACCGGCUAACUUCGUG